rnacentral:rRNA from 1 species
CGUGAGUGGCGGACGGGUGAGUAACGCGUGGGUAACCUACCUCAUACAGGGGGAUAACAGUUGGAAACGGCUGCUAAUACCGCAUAAGCGCACAGUACCGCAUGGUACCGUGUGAAAAACUCCGGUGGUAUGAGAUGGACCCGCGUCUGAUUAGCUAGUUGGUGGGGUAACGGCCUACCAAGGCGACGAUCAGUAGCCGACCUGAGAGGGUGACCGGCCACAUUGGGACUGAGACACGGUCCAA